UCCAGUUUGGGCUAAAAGAUAUUGACAAUAUCAGGUAAGUCGCACGGCUGUCAACCGUGAGAUGCCGGUUCAAAACCGGCAGCUGGAGCCA
rnacentral:tRNA from 1 species